CUCUGUUAAACUCAAACUGGAUUUAGGGGAUCCUCUUCCCUCUCCUGAAAACUAUAGAUGCCUAGUGGGGAAACUCAAUUUCCCUACCCACACCAGACCUGAAUUAGCCUUUGCUGUCCAACAUUUAAGUCAGUUCCUCCAGAAUCCUACAUCCUCUCAUAUGCUUGCUGCUUUGCAUACCCUAAGAUAUCUCAGAGGCACCUCUGACCUUGGCAUCUUUCUCAGCAACACUCCUGACCUCUCCUUAUCUGCUUACUGUGAUAGUGACUGGGCAUCCUGCCUAGACACCAGAGAUCUGUAUCUGGCUUUUGUGUUCUAUUGGAGUGAAGGCUAAGAAGCAGCCUGUAGUGUCCCUCUCUUCUGCUGAGGCUGAGUAUAGAGCCAUCAACAAGGUUGUGGGUGAGCAAUAGUGACUGGGCAUCCUGCCCAGACACCAGAAGAUCUGUAUCUGGUUUUGUGUUCUGCUAGGUGACUCCCUUAUUGGUUGUAAGGCUAAGAAGCAGCCUGUAGUGUCCCUCUCUUCUGUUGAGGCUGAGUAUAGAGCCAUCAGCAAGGUUGUGGGUGAGCUCACUUGGCUCAUUCGUUUACUGUCUGAUUUUGGUGUUGCUGUUACAUCUAUUAUCCCAGUUAAUUGUGAUAAUCAGGCAGCCCUUCACAUUGCCAAGAAUCCUGUGUUUCAUGAACGGACCAAACACAUUGAGGUGGAUUGUCAUUUCAUCAGAGGCAAGCUUCAUGAAGGGCUUAUUACCUUGCACCAUGUUCCCACAACUUCUCAGCCUGCUGAUGUAUUUACCAAGCCCCUUACUGGCAUUUUGCAUCACUCUAUCUUGCUCAAGAUGGGAGUUCAGUCACCUUCCAACUUGCAGGGGGUGUUGGAGUUAUUGGGCCAUCUGCACAGCCCAGUCAGAGUGUUGGAGUUAUUGGGCCAUCUGCACAUCCCAAUCCGAGUAGCAGCAUCUGUACAUAAUAUAUGUUAUUUAUUUUAUGGUCCAAAAUGGCCCAAUAUGUGUACAAAUAUUGUAAUAGAUAUUGUGUAUAUACGGAAGGGGUUCAGGAAGGUUCUAGUGGGUUGUAUCAUUUUUUUACGAAGAACAG
rnacentral:lncRNA from 1 species